rnacentral:lncRNA from 1 species
CAAAAAAAAAAAGAAUCAUGAAAAUAAUAAUUAUGUUUUUUUUUUAGGAAUACUGUAAGGUUGUAUUGAUUCAUCGGUAUUGGUGAAUGAAAAGUAAAAAAGUAUGAGAAUAAGAGGAGGCUAUUUAUAGAAAAUAAAUAAGAGAAAAAAGAUAUCCUCGAAGAUUAAAGACAUGCUAAUGCGUUGACAUUGAAGAGAACCUAAGCCACCGUUUGGUUCGGGGUUAAGAAAAAGUAGCUAUUCCAUGAAUAGAGUUAAGUUCAGGGUUAAAAUGGUGUUAAAAUUUUUUUGUGUUGGUUGGAGGUUGGAGUUAGUCUAGGAUAGUGAAAAAAAGUGUUUGGUUGGAGUAUGUGGGAUAAGAAGGUAAUGAUUGAUAAAGAAGAAAAAGGUGAGGGCUCAGGAUGCAUGUGGGGUUAAAGUUGGGAGGGGGAGUGGGGUUAGUAAACCCCACUAACCCGGUUUGGGUUGGGGUUUACUAACCCCACCCCUUAAGAGUGGUGUUUGGGUAUAAAUUGGAGGUUAAAGGGUUAUUCCACCCCUUAACCCCCAACCAAACGGUGGCUAAAACUCUUUUUU